AUAUUAUAAUAUAGCAUGCAUGCAUGAUGCAUUCAAGUAUAAAAAAAAAGUUACAAAUGUUUAAUUAUACAAAAAGAUUAUGGAUGUGGUACCGCAAGUAUAUUCAAUUGAUUAUGCAAUUAAACCAUCACCACUUCCACAGCCACCUUGUCUCAAGCAUUCAAUUACAUUCUUAGAUAUCUUUAUUCAAAUCAAGUGUGACUACUUUACCAAAAAACUCUAGAAUGGACCAAUCAACUAACCCAUCAGUACUUGCAAAGUCUCCUUUUCUGUAAGCCUGAAAAUUGAGUUCUAAAAUACCAUUAUCCACAUAACUACUAUAUCAAAGCACUAACUAAUGGAUUGAUCAAGUAAUACUUAAUUUUUACCUUGAAUU
rnacentral:lncRNA from 1 species